rnacentral:rRNA from 1 species
UACGUAGGGGGCAAGCGUUAUCCGGAUUUAUUGGGCGUAAAGAGCUCGUAGGCGGCCGUUCGCGUCGGAUGUGAAAGCUCAGGGCUCAACUCUGAGACGCCAUUCGAUACGGGACGGCUAGAGGUAGGUAGGGGAAAGUGGAAUUCCUGGUGUAGCGGUGAAAUGCGCAGAUAUCAGGAGGAACACCGGUGGCGAAGGCGGCUUUCUGGGCCUUACCUGACGCUGAGGAGCGAAAGCGUGGGUAGCGAACAGG